AAAAUUUAUAUGUUUAAUCUGAUUAUUCAAUAUUAUGUGGACACUGUCCAAGUUUUUGUGGGAAAUCUGAUUUUAAAAGUCGUAUCUGACACAAAAGAGAACACACCAGGCGAUUCCCCAUUUUCUGAAAUAUAACAGGCAAAACUACUCUGUUGUUGGGUGACACUGUGGUGUUAGGUGUGGGGGGAGAGUAGGGACUAGAAGGAGUUGCAGGGCCUUCUGGGUGCUGGUUAGUUGGAUGCGUUUACUGUGAAAAUCCAUCAAGCUGGACACUUAGGACUGGUGCACUUCUCUGUAUGUAUAGUUCAACAAAAAGUUUUAAAGGUAGUGUGUUAAGCCUCCAAUAGCUAUACUUUUUAAUAGAAAUAAGGAAACAAAAGUUAGGGGAAAGAAGUUAAAAGCCUCAUAAGAAAGUGUGUGUUCCUUGAAAAGAUGGUAAUCUAACAACUUCUUAAAAAGGCUGGGGGUGAUUAACUCAGGGAGAUUGGAUCCCCGGAGAAUUGUAUAAUGAGCUGAGGGGGUACAUACAAGAAAAAGGUGAAUCUAAAUGUAGGGGGUGGGGAGGUGACCACGAUCCUUUGUUGAGAGGCAGGUGUCCAGGGAGUGAGGCAACAGCAACCUCCCCCCUACUAACUACGAUUACAAGGAAGGAGCACAAACAAAUCAAUGUUGUUUUUUUUUCUUUCUAAACAAUGAUCUCUGCUUGUCCACCAUUGUAGUUAUAAUUAGAAAACUUAAUUCCUCCCUAGCCUGUAAAGUAACUCACAGGAACCUUGUAAUUAGCUUUGAUAAUUGUCUACUAAUCAGGCAUGGCAUCUGCAAAAUAGAUAAGUUCCUUUUAACUAUUACAUAUUAUAAAUAUUUUUUCUCAUUACAAUAUUUCAAUAGGUAUCUGAAAAUGUAAAUCCUAUCUUAAAAUUUUCCUGUUAACAUGACACUACUAAAAAUGUUGACAAAACAUAAACUGACUUAGAAAGUGAUUUAAUUAAAGGAAUAGAUCCAAGAUUUAAAUCUGGAAUCUUAGCCACAGAAUGGUAAUAAAAACAAGCAAACCCAGCCAUUUGGAAGGAAAACGCAAUGCCUGGCAUUUUGGGUACUCUAUCUUAAGUCCAGUUACACUACAUGAUUCCUAAUUCUUUGAAGGAAACGGGCUUAGCUUUUCCUAAGGUAUGUAGGCCUGCUCACACCCUGUGCAGUACCCACAGCUUAGCCAAAUAUGGAGACAAGAAAAAGAUCCGAAUUUAUGUACAUACAGAAAGCAAUGAAUUAUAAAGAGAGAUUCCUGAGGAAUAUAAUGAUAAAAUCAAAUAAUUUAUGUGGUUACUUGGAAAAGAAUCUUUCAACCUUUAGAAGUAUAGGCCCUUAUGACCUUGUGUUCUAUUGGAUUUGUCUGACAACAAGAGGUGAAAGAAUUCUGUGGUUCCAUUGUCUCAACAGUGGGAUCUGAGAAAACACUGGCAGGACUCAUCAGAGAGGUUUAUGAGCCUGCAAUUCAAAGAGAUUAAAAGGAAAAUCUAGGGAGAUUCUUUCACACUGAAGAAUAACAUUAAAUAACUAUUAGCAGCUUGGUUCAGUAAAGCUUACUAGAGCUCUCGCUGGGUCAUUCACAACUUUCUAAAAGAGGAAAGGUUUUUUUCAGCUCCAUUUGGGAAUCAAUAAAUAUUUCUUACUUCUUACAAGACAAUGGCAUUCCAGUCUUUUAAAGCUUCCUCCUAAUGAUAGUAAAAUUUCUAAAACAACUCUUUGCUGCCUAAUAAUUACAUUUCCUAAUCCCAGGAAACCUUUUCUAACUAAAGCUACAAUUCAAAUAAAUAAGUAAAAAUAAAUAACAGCAACAAAAAGCUAUGGUGGAGAGGAAUUUAACUUUAUUCAUUAUGGCUGAGAUAUCACAAGUCUCAUUCAACCCAAUAUUGGCCAAAAGAUCUAGUCCAUCCGCAGUUCAGUCCCUACUAUUCAUGUGUAGCAAUGUCGUAACUUACCCAAGCGAUCAAGUCCCCAGAAUGCUCUCAUUUAGCAAUUAGUCUACUGUAUUUAUUUUUAUGUCUUAAAAUACUUAAUUUCACACUUAAAGCUUUAAGUCAUCUGUGUGUUAAAAGCUAAGAGCAGUGUUUUUCUCUUAGCAUCUUGCUGUUUUAAAACCAAGUAAUUUAAUUUUAAACAAUCACCUCAUUCUUAAAAAUCACUUCACUAUACAUAAUUAAAAUUUUCAUAUAGGAACUAACUGGAAGGAAAUCAGUUUCCUUGUCCUUAACAGUCUCUGUUCUUAGAACAGUCUCUACCUUGAUAAAAGAGAUUCAGAAUCAGGCAACAUUUAAUUUGAAACCUGUUCAUUAAAUCAGAAAGCUCUAUAAUCCUUUCCCAGAUGAAAUUAAAGAGUCACUUGCAAGGCUUUCCAUAUCAAAGAAAAAUUAAAAACUUGGAGUUUAAUUAUGGACUUGGAGAACUGUGGGGCUUUUAUAAACUGAGUGUCAACCCAGUGCUCAUGACAGAUACCAAAUGAAGACCGGAAACUGAAUUUCACGUUUCGGUACACAGCAGGUAGAACAGCAUUACAAGUAAGCCUGGCCUCUCGUUCUGACCCUCAAAUAGGAACUCACUCCUGAUUAUCUGGAACUAAAAAUAGUAGGUUGUACACACCUAUUCAAAACUUGACAGCCCAGCACAAUGAUUAAAAGUCAGAGAAUGACUUUUGAAUUUCCCCUCUAUCAAUUACUAGCCAUGUGACCUUAGUCAAAUUACUUAACCCCUCUGAACCUCAGACUCUUUCUCUGGAAAGCAGGUAUUAAUAUCUUCCUUAAGAGGCUGUUAAACAAUGAUUGAAAGACAAUUACCAUAGAUCUAGUGCUCAAUAAACAGUAGCUCUUUUAAUUGUUAUCUCAUAAUGCUUGUGGUGACCUGUUCAUAACAGACCAUAAGAAAAUGACUAAAGAGUAAUCCAUUAUGAGUGGGGGAAAGCCUCAAGUACCACAGUGUAGGAAGGUAGCAACUCUUGACCUUGUGUGGAUUUGUAAGUGUUAAGAAGUUUGAUGUACUUUGCUAUUGUCAGUCCCAUUAAAAUCAGCCCAUUAUUAUCAGCCCAUUAUUAUCAAAGCCAUGGUCCACACAAUUAUUGUCCUUCCGAAGUAUCAAACAAAACUGAAAGGAGUCACAGAGAAAAAGUGCAAAAUAAUUAAUUUGUACAUUAGAUUCAGAGAUUAGAAAUGAUGGCAGAUUAGAAUGUCAGGGAAAGCUUUCUUUGGGAGGUGGGAGGUGGAUUGAUGAUCUUGAGUUCAAACUUGAACAAAAAAAACUGGGAAGAAUCAGAAUGGGAGGGUGUUCUGAGUCAUGACAAACAGCAUAAGCAUAUGUGUUUGAGAGCCCCUAAAUGAACCAGGGAAGAAGAUUCACAUUAGGUUUGUGAUUGGUGACAAGGCUGAAAAAGUAAUUAGGAACAAACUUCAAAGCUUCUGUUCCAUUUAAAUUCUAGCUGAAUGGGAAAAUGUUGGGUUGGGGAGAGGGUGGUUAUAAAAGUUCUUAAACAGAGGAGUGAGAAUAAAGAAAGCUAGACCAAUCAAAAUGUGAACCUCUGUAGAAGGCCAAUUAGCAGCUAUGGAAAUAAUAUGGGUAUGUGUUCUACUCUGGGUAUGGACUACCAUGGUAGCUGUGAGAAUAAAAAGAUCACACAGAAAAAAAAAAAAUUACAGGAAUGUCAAAACUCAUUUCUAAUUCAUUGGUUGUAUAUUGAGCAAAGUAGAAGUAAUCAGAGUGUAAUAUGAAACAAAAGUUUCAAGUCUGAAAGAAAAAAAUAAGCACUGAGAAAGGUAACCCUAUUUUGGGUCAAGAUUCAUUGAUUUUGGGGCACCUGAGGGGCUCGGUUGAGCGUCCGACUUCAGCUCAGGUCAUGAUCUCACGGUUUAUGAGUUCGAGCCCCGCAUCGGGCUCUUUGCUAACAGCUUGGAGCCUGGAGCCUGCUUUGGCUUCUGUGUCUCCCUCUCUCUCCACGCACCGCCCCCCUCUCGAAAAUUAGUAAACAGUUAAAAAAAACAAAAAACAAAAAAAACACUCAUUGAUUUCAACUGGAUCAAGUACCGAAGUAGAAAUUGAGAGUGAAGUUAAAAUGGGAGGCACAAAUUUCCUAAAAUCUUACAUUUUCUCUAUUAUUAAAUCAGAACUCCUAAUUAUGUCCAAUUAUACCAGAAUUAUAAGUGUAGUCUUGCCCAUAGGUUCCCAUAACAUUCAUUCUUUCAAACUAGUCAAAUUUUUAUUUAAAACCAUUGAGAAAGGAUCUUAAAAUAAAUUUUUAUUGCAAAAAAGUUAUUUGCAUUCAAGUAAAAGUAACAGAUAACAUGAGUAGUCACCUUCUUAUGACAAAUAAGAUGGAGCAGGACCCUCACAAAAAGUUUUGUCUAUACUCUUUUCUCCAUCUGAAGAAAGUGCCAGUCCCUAACUGUCCAGAUGGAUUUUCUGCAUCAUUUCACAUACUUUUCCCAGAAACAGUCACCCAAACAAAACAAAACAAAACAAAACAAAACAAAACAAAACAAAACAAAACAUGCCCCCUGAUGCUUAUGUUCAAAUUUUACCUGAAGCACAUUUUUACAGCCAAUUUUCAAAUUCCUAAAAUCAAAUGGAAAUACUGAUAUGACCACAGAUGGAAACUCUAACUUGACUAAUACAAGUAUUUUGUAAGGGUCAGUUUUAGCACAUAAUCUACACAAAUAUCUCCUGGCCUUAAGUCAUUAUUUGUAACUCAGAUUCGUAUUAUCUACAUUUAAAAGCGUUAUUUCCACUCUUAUGGAGUUAAUCAGUCUUUAGCAUUAACUUGCUUUCAGGAAGGUCCAUAUUUGGGGCUCUUACUAAGAAAUUACAAGUUGAUACAUAAAUGUUGGUGGUGUUUAGAUAUUUUCCAUAUUUGGCUCAGAAUUUAUUUCCUAAUCUUCCAUUCUCAAAUAUUUAUCCUAAUAAAAGGGACAAGGUAAAUUGUAAAAUACAACACCAGAAGUGACCUUUUGUAUCUAGCUAGGGGAGAGUAGCUGAUUAGCUUUGAGUAAAGACACACUGACUUUACAAUGUCUGGCCUAAUCUCCUUCUGAGCCAGGCUAUUUUGGGUAUCCAGGUACUUGGCCAAUUGUAUAACAUGAAGACUCCACCUUAUCAAAAUAAUUUACUAACAGAACACCAAGAUACAUCUUAAUAUAAAAUAAUAUACCACCAAGGAAGGAUCCCAAACACAAUGAACUUUUUUUUUUUUUAAACAUUUAAUUUGACUGACUUCAUUUGGAGGUUUAUUUUUAUUAAUUUGACUGAAACCAUUUUGAAGGUUUGUUCCACUUCAGGUCACAAAGAAGUCAACCUACCUCAUUAGCCAUGUCACUCUGUACAGCCACUGAGACAUUAUUAGAGAUCUGUGUGACUGUCACAUUACAAAGCAACUGAAUCACAAUUCCUAUUAUUUUCCCAUGAUAUACUUCUGAUGUGUUUUUUAAUGUGUUUAAUAUAUCAGAAAACUCCCCAUAAGAUUUAUAAAGGCACCAAAAUCUAUUCAAAGAUAUUAUUCAUAUAAACAUUUUACAGAUCCUGAAAAGAUUUUCCAAAGUGCUCAUAUGGUUGUCUGAAGCCUAAUCUUGAAUAACUACAUGCCUUUCAAGGGAACAUGGGAAGCAAGUCUUUGGAAGCAUCCUUAGAAACAAUAAGAUUUGCUUUUCUUCAGCCUGGCCAACAUUGCCCUAGAACUAUCAAAUAAGAAUAGAUAGUGGAAAUGAGGAAGAAAAAAAUGUAUGUACUUUACAUAGCUAGACUUUUUUUUUUAUUAGAACUCAUCUGAUAAUAUCUUUUGUGAAGCAAAGAAAUACAGACACCAAGGGCCCAUGUAAAUGAUCUUUUACAGAAAUAAAUGGUUAUGGGCAAUAUUGAUGAGGCUCUCCUUACACCAGAGCACCAACUUUGAGCUGUGAAAUAUGAGAAAGCAUUCCACAUCAGCCAAUAAAAUAUCUCCUACCUCCUU